rnacentral:rRNA from 1 species
GAUGAACGCUGGCGGCGUGCUUAACACAUGCAAGUCGGACGGUCACGGUUUCGGCUGUGAUAGUGGCGGACGGGUGCGUAACACGUGGGUAACCUACCCUUGAGUGGGGGAAUAAUCCUACGAAAGUGGGACUAAUACCGCAUAAAUCAGGGGAGACCUUGAUGAAAGCCUUCGGGUGCUUGGGGAUGGGCCUGCGGCGGAUUAGGUAGUUGGUGGGGUAAAGGCCUACCAAGCCGAUGAUCCGUAGGGGGCGUGAGAGCGUGGCCCCCCACACUGGCACUGAGAUACGGGCCAGACUCCUACGGGAGGCAGCAGUGAGGAAUAUUGCACAAUGGGCGGAAGCCUGAUGCAGCAACGCCGCGUGGGGAAGAAGGCCUUCGGGUUGUAAACCUCUUUUCUGGGGGACGAGGAAGGACGGUACCUCAGGAAUAAGUCUCGGCUAACUACGUG